GUGGGGAAUAUUGGACAAUGGGCGAAAGCCUGAUCCAGCAAUGCCGCGUGAGUGAAGAAGGCCUUCGGGUUGUAAAGCUCUUUUACCCGGGAAGAUAAUGACUGUACCGGGAGAAUAAGCCCCGGCUAACUCCGUGCCAGCAGCCGCGGUAAUACGGAGGGGGCUAGCGUUGUUCGGAAUUACUGGGCGUAAAGCGCACGUAGGCGGUCUUUUAAGUCAGAGGUGAAAGCCCGGGGCUCAACUCCGGAAUUGCCUUUGAAACUGGAAGACUUGAACACGGGAGAGGUGAGUGGAAUUCCGAGUGUAGAGGUGAAAUUCGUAGAUAUUCGGAGGAACACCAGUGGCGAAGGCGGCUCACUGGACCGUUGUUGACGCUGAGGUGCGAAAGCGUGGGGAGCAAACAGGAUUAGAAACCCCAGUAGUCC
rnacentral:rRNA from 1 species